CUGUGUGUCUAUGAAGACCAAUCCAUGGCAGACCCUCUUCAUUUUAGCAGUGGACCACCACAGUCUGAUCCAAAGCCACAGACACACAGACCAGUGUCUCCAGUGCCCAGCUGUGUGUCUAUGAAGAGUGACUGGUCCAUGCCAUACACUCUUCCCAAUUUCAGCAGUGGACCACCACAGUCUCAUCCAAAGCCACAGACACACAGACCAGUGUCUCCAGUGCCCAGCUGUGUGUCUAUGAAGAGUGACUGGUCCAUGCCAUACACUCUUCCCAAUUUCAGCAGUGGACCACCACAGUCUCAUCCAAAGUGAGUUGUCAGCUAUUAUAUUUUACAUUUUUACAUUUUACAAAUACACAUAUGUACAAAAGUGGA
ensembl:lncRNA